CCUCAGUCAGGAGAGUAAUCUAGUUUGAGGGUGUCCUUUUCAUUGUCUAUGGACUCGGCUACUGGGCAUCUUUGCUUGAACAAGGCCUCCUUGGGAAGAAGGACAAUGGAACUUUGGUCCUGCGCCUAACUCAGCCCUGCUGGGCUCUCUGUCUGUGCUGGGCUUGCUCUUUCUGGCCUACGUGAGCCAUGGGGCUGGGACUUCAGUGGAAAGAUCUCUGUGCUUACAACUGCUCCAGUGCCCCACUGGCUUCCUUGAGAUGGCAGACAAUGAAUGGGACGUGAAUCCUGAUCGGAGCUCAGUUCUGCUGUGUUCACUGUCUGUGCGAGGCUGGCUGAUUCUGCCCUAGGUGAACCAGGCAGUAGGACAGCAGGCAGAAUGGAGCUGUGCCUCCCCAAAGCCAUCCUGACAUGAGUAAGCAUAUCCUAAGGCAAGACACUUGUAUGACAUUUGCAUAUUGGACUAUUGGACAAACAGUCCUUAAGUAAUGAAUCCCCAGAGAUCUCAGCUAUAUUUUAGGUAAUUGGACUGGAGAAUUCGAUACUACGAUGGAGCAGCUGAGAGUGGCCAUUGUCACGGUAAAUUCUACCAGAGUGGACGCAAGACUACCACAGGAUUAUCAUCAUGGAUUGCUGCAGCCAUGAAUCAUCUGAAGGAAUGGGCGGGCAGGGGAGUGUUAGCAGGCUUUCUGGUGUUGGUCUCCUUGGUUUGCCUGUGGUAUAUAUGCAAGAUUAGAGUCUCACAACAGUGUAAUGCAGCCAUGAUCAUUCAGGCCUUUACAACCAUUGAAGCAGGACAGUCUCCCCAAGCAUGUUUGGCUACCAUAAAAGGUUAAAAUGUUACGCUCAGGAUGCGAGGCUAAGCCUGCACUCAGGGUCAGCUGCUUUGGACCCAGAGAAGAGCAUGUCUGAUUGCAUGUGGGUUGAUGCCCCAGGUCCCGCCUCUGAGAAAAAGGUAUCGGACGUGUCUGAAGCUCUUUGGGUGGAUGACACCUAAAUGAACAUCAAUACAAAGUCCCAAUCUAUUUCUAAUAUCAGAGAUCAGACCUCUACUCUUGCCUGAUGCGUCUAAAACAAAAAGGGGGAACUGUAGAGAGCUGUGUAAUGCCGCGCCUUAAAGAUGGAGCUGGUUUCUGCCUUCCACCUUCCUGAUGGUGAGUGCUCUCUGUCACGAACAACUCCACAUUUGGCUAAGGCUGAGAA